ACAUGAUGGCCUCAGCAGCGUUUUUCAUUCCACUAGUGAGCCCCAGAGAGCUCUGACCUCUGUUCCAGUGUUCUCCCUAGGAUGGGACCCUGACUCUAGCGUCCUGCAGAAGAGAGAGCCCUCAGGGGAGGGGCCUCCAGGCCCCAGAGGACAGAGGGAGGAAUCCCCAGGUCCUGAGCUAGCGACCUCCAGCUUCUCCAAUGGGAAUCCAGGAGAGACUGAGGUUUCUGCUGGGCCCAUCCCUUUGAACAGGAGGGCAGCUUCGAGAGAUCAUCUGAGAGGUGUCAUCCGAAUAACCAGACGACCUUGGCUUCUGUGCAGCUCACCUUCUCCUGAGUCCCAUCACCUGCCAGCCACCUCCCACCUCCUGGUCCAUAUAUCUCUCUCCUGCAGAGAGAGCGUUUCAGCCUCAUUGACUCCUGUGCACACGUGUGUGCGUAAUAGUAAUACAUGAGUUAUGCUUUA